rnacentral:tRNA from 1 species
CGGGGUAUAGCUCAGUUGGUAGAGCGCGCGGUUCGGGACCGCGAGGUCACUGGUUCGAGUCCAGCUACCCCGA